UCCAAAACGAAACCCCCAGAUGUGUGCACAUCAUCAACAACAACAACAACAAAAAAGAAAAAGAAAAAUCCACUC
rnacentral:tRNA from 1 species